CCCCGGCCUCCCUGAAGCUCCCCAGGCCCCCUGCCGCCCUCCAGGUGGAUAACGAUGGGGUUCGGAAUACAGAUCUACUUCGAUUUCAUUGGACGCUCAGGCCUUCUGGAAAAGAUUCCUUCAGGUGGAUACUCACUGAGCCAGCCAGCCGGGUGUGGAGUCAUCUCAGUUCCAAUCCUGGUGCUGCUACUGACCAGCUGUGUGCAGCUGAGGAAAUUGCUUGCUACUCUAAGACGGAAUCAGUACCUCUUAAAAUGGCCCAAUGGUAUGUUAUCCUAUAAGGUGAUCGAGAGAAUUAUAU